AUGCAUGUCUAAGUUCACACCCUUGUACGGUGAAACCGCGAAUGGCUCAUUAAAUCAGUCGAGGUUCCUUAGAUGAUCCAAAUUUACUUGGAUAACUGUGGUAAUUCUAGAGCUAAUACAUGCCCACCAGCUCCGACCCUCUCGGGGGAAAGAGCGCUUUUAUUAGUUCAAAACCAGUCGGGUUUCGGCCCGUCCUUUGGUGACUCUGGAUAACUUUGUGCCGAUCGCAUGGCCUCGAGCCGGCGACGCAUCUUUCAAAUGUCUGCCCUAUCAAAUGACGAUGGUACGUGAUCUGCCUACCAUGUUUUCUACGGGUAGCGGGGAAUCAGGGUUCGAUUCCGGAGAGGGAGCAUGAGAAACGGCUACCACA
rnacentral:rRNA from 1 species